GAAAGGUAUGCUAAUACGGGAUAAUAUAUUUGAGAGGCAUCUCUUGAAUAUCAAAGGUGAGCCAGUACAGGAUGGACCCGCGUCUGAUUAGCUAGUUGGUAAGGUAACGGCUUACCAAGGCGACGAUCAGUAGCCGACCUGAGAGGGUGAUCGGCCACAUUGGAACUGAGACACGGUCCAAACUCCUACGGGAGGCAGCAGUGGGGAAUAUUGCACAAUGGGCGAAAGCCUGAUGCAGCAACGCCGCGUGAGUGAUGAAGGCCUUCGGGUCGUAAAACUCUGUCCUCAAGGAAGAUAAUGACGGUACUUGAGGAGGAAGCCCCGGCUAACUACGUGCCAGCAGCCGCGGUAAUACGUAGGGGGCUAGCGUUAUCCGGAUUUACUGGGCGUAAAGGGUGCGUAGGCGGUCUUUCAAGUCAGGAGUGAAAGGCUACGGCUCAACCGUAGUAAGCUCUUGAAACUGGGAGACUUGAGUGCAGGAGAGGAGAGUGGAAUUCCUAGUGUAGCGGUGAAAUGCGUAGAUAUUAGGAGGAACACCAGUUGCGAAGGCGGCUCUCUGGACUGUAACUGACGCUGAGGCACGAAAGCGUGGAGAGCAAACAGGAUUAGAUACCCUGGUAGUCC
rnacentral:rRNA from 1 species